rnacentral:rRNA from 1 species
UACGGAGGGUGCAAGCGUUAAUCGGAAUUACUGGGCGUAAAGCGCGCGUAGGCGGAAGCCUAAGUCAGGAGUGAAAUCCCUCUGCUUAACGGAGGAAUAGCUUUUGAUACUGGGUUUCUUGAGUUCAGGAGAGGGUGGCGGAAUUCCAGGUGUAGGAGUGAAAUCCGUAGAGAUCUGGAGGAACAUCAGUGGCGAAGGCGGCCACCUGGACUGAUACUGACGCUGAGGUGCGAAAGCGUGGGGAGCAAACAGG